AACCCUUCUUCACCAUUGAAUUGGUUGAAUGAUCUAUCCAAUGAUAAAGGGGGUGUGUGUGGACACAUAUCUUCCAAUUAUUAACACACACAAUUGGAACUUUGAAGCAAUCGAUUACUUAAACAGUAUUCAGUAGAAAGAAGCAUUUUUCUUUCCUGACUUGGGGUUGCUAUUAUUAACCUACACGCCAAUCUUAAUAAAGUUUAUUUCUUAACUAACACACACUUCCUCUUUUGUUCAUUGCUCUCUCCCCCUUGUAAGGCCAUAAUUUCAACCCAACAAACUCCUCUGUUGCACCAAUGGCUUUCAAUAAUAAUCAGCCCAGCAGCACGAUGAGGAAGGCGUUCCAGAUACAGGCUCAGAGUAGCUGCACAACGUGGGUUAUAAGUGACACUUGGCCUUUUGAUAGCGUGCGAUAUUUUGAGCAAUGUCAAUCAAUCCACCAUGUGUACGGUCAAGGAAGAAUUAAGUCUAGGAAAAUAUAAGGAGGUACUCAGUAAUCUUCUAUGCUCUGUCCUGAAGUUUAUAAAUCAACAUGUGAACAUGUCCAAGCUCAAUCCCCUGAUUGGAUUCUUCAUAUUCUUCUGGAUUAUAUUGACUGUUGCUGUGAUGCUUGUUGUGGGUGUGAAAUUCAAUCGCACCCAUGCUGUUUUAACCCUCAUCUGGUUUAUUCUGAUUCUCCAAGGACCAUUUGGUGUAAUCUUUGGGAUCAACCUUGUACUAGGAUUAUUAGUGACAUGGACGUCCCCCCCAAAAAAGCAACAAAUGGGGAGAAAAGCUGUAGCCAGAGAAAGAAUCCAGGAGUUACCUUGAGCUGUAUCUGCUAAAUAAAUGUGUCUUGUGUCUGCAUCUUUGUAAUUAUUCAUUUAUUUGUUACUUGUUAUGCAUCUGUGUCUUUGUAAUUAUUUGUUACUUGUUAUUGCCUAAAAAUUGAAUGCCAAACUUCAUUUUAUCUCUUCAAAAUAUACCGUGUUUUACACUUGAGAGAGAUUAAAAAAUUAGACUUCUUUAUUAAUCGAGAUAUUGCAAAAGAACUCUUAGCUUGUAAGUAUCUUUGAGAGCUUCUAAAUGUGAGGACCAUAGCUUUGUCCUAUAUAUUUUGUCAUGAUGCCUUAUAUUUUGUUCCAUAUCAAUGUAAAAUUUGUUAAUUAGAGAAUGGAAUUAAAAGAUACGUGGAGAAUGCUCUCAAGUAA